GACAGAGGGUGCAAACGUUGUUCGGAAUUACUGGGCGUAAAGCGCGUGUAGGCGGCUAAGCAAGUCGGGCGUGAAAUCCCACCGCUCAACGGUGGAAGUGCACCCGAAACUGCAUAGCUAGAGUCCUGGAGAGGAAGGUGGAAUGCUUGGUGUAGAGGUGAAAUUCGUAGAUAUUCGGAGGAACACCAGAAGCGAAGGCGGCCAACUGGACUGGUAUUGACGCUGAGGUGCGAAAGCGUGGGGAGCAAACAGG
rnacentral:rRNA from 1 species